rnacentral:rRNA from 1 species
AGGGGCAACUCUCGAGUAGAGUGGCGGACGGGUGAGUAAUACGUAGGAAUCUGCCCUAGAGUGGGGGAUAACCUGUCGAAAGACGGGCUAAUACCGCAUAAUCUCUAAGGAGCAAAGGUGUCUUGUAGCAAUACAAGAUUUCGCUUUAGGAUGAGCCUACGUCGGAUUAGCUAGUUGGUAGAGUAAUAGCCUACCAAGGCGACGAUCCGUAGCUGGUCUGAGAGGAUGAUCAGCCACACUGGAACUGAGACACGGUCCAGACUCC